CAUCCCGGAGAAUGACAAGAGAGCGAGUACCUGGGUGACGUUUACGUUCUGGGAUUUCGGGAGAUGCGGUUUUCUGCACGCCAGGGGCCAAGCCUGAGACGUAGAUGGACGGCAGGGAUAGGAGCUCUCUCCGCGCCACAAACGCCCCUGCUCAUACCUGGGUUCCUUGAUUUUCCUGCCUAUAUAACCGAGCCUCCCAUGGCCGGGCUCUGAGCUCUCAUUCUGCGGACUGGGACAAAGGGGUUAACUGUGAUGAGCUUUGUAUAACCCCAGGAUUCUGCACUUGCCCAAGGGCGAGGCGCAAAUCAAAAACUACGCACAACUGAACACCGAGAUCAGCUUACUCAGACCCGAUGAUCCAAGAUAAGACCAAAGCCAAACGGAUCCAGCAACUCUGCGCAGAUCUUCAUGUUCCAGCAGCUAAGUUCCACUGAAUAAACCUAUGAUUCGCCUAGUUUAGAAAUU
rnacentral:lncRNA from 1 species